rfam:Cavia porcellus supercont2_32 genomic scaffold, whole genome shotgun sequence.
ACCAUACCAUACCACCCUGAACGCACCCGAUCUCAUCUGAUCUCAGAAGCUAAGCAGGGUCGGGCCUGGUUAGUAUUUGGAUGGGAGAGUAUACAGAUGAACCAGGAGAAGAAAGUC